AUUGAACGCUGGCGGCAGGCCUAACACAUGCAAGUCGAGCGAGCGGCGGACGGGUGAGUAAUGUCUGGGAAACUGCCUGAUGGAGGGGGAUAACUACUGGAAACGGUAGCUAAUACCGCAUACCAUCAGAUGUGCCCAGAGGGGAUUAGCUAGUAGGUGGGGUAACGGCUCACCUAGGGGACGAUCCCUAGCUGGUCUGAGAGGAUGACCAGCCACCCUGGAAAUGAGACACGGUCCAGACUCCUACGGGAGGCAGCAGUGGGGAAUAUUGCAAAAUGUGCGCAAGCCUGAUGCAGUCAUGCCGCGUGUGUGAAGCAGGCCUUCGGGUUGUAAAGCACUUUCAGCGGGAAGGCGUUACCCGCAGACGAAGCACCGGCUAACUCCGUGCCAGCAGCCGCGGUACUAC
rnacentral:rRNA from 1 species